UCCCUACUGGCUCAGACAGUAAAGCGUCUGCCUACAAUGUGGGAGACCUAGGUUCAAUCCCUGGGUUGGAAA
rnacentral:tRNA from 1 species